UGUUAAUGGAAUAUGGGAGGCUGAAUGCCGAUUUCCCAUUGGCUGGUGAAGGUCUUUAACUGCUAGGGAAGACCAGCACAGUAAACAGGAAGUCAUCUCCAUGGCAACUGGCCAUUCAACUUAACUUUUUAACACACGAAGAGGUUGGAAGAUGAAACCAAGGGAAGACAGGACUGAAGGCCACGCAGGGCAGGACUCAGAACCUGAGGAUGCAGGAGGCUCGGAGACCAGGGAACGUUCUGUUGGAGGCAAUCAACAAUCCUUGGGAACUCACCACAGGAGCCAGAGUCCAAGGCAGCUUCCCUGGCCUUUGCCCACCCGGGAAAAUUUGUCUUCCCUACUAGGAGGAUCAGAGCUCUCUCUGCCUGGGAAGGAGAAGCUGUCCAAAAUCGCAGAGCCUGGCUUGGAAUUGAAGUUUGGCCUUUAACCUUCGGAGAAAGAGUGCAGUCUGUGAGUCCUGGUCAUUUUCAGAGCAUCCCAUGGAAACAGGUCUCCCUUCAGGACACCAGGAGGUAUUGGCCAGUCACUGCAGCCUACUGAAUGCAGUCACUAUUUCCUUCAGGAAGCUCUUUCCAACUGUCCUCCCACCUCCCUCAAGACAACUCAGAAGACCCAGCAGUCGCAUACAGUGUCAACGGUGGAGAACUCUAGGUUGAACAGAAUUUUAUAAUUAAAAUAAAUUAA
rnacentral:lncRNA from 1 species